rnacentral:rRNA from 1 species
UACGAAGGGGGCUAGCGUUGCUCGGAAUCACUGGGCGUAAAGCGCACGUAGGCGGCUUCUUAAGUCAGGGGUGAAAUCCUGGAGCUCAACUCCAGAACUGCCUUUGAUACUGGGAAGCUUGAGUUCGGGAGAGGUGAGUGGAACUGCGAGUGUAGAGGUGAAAUUCGUAGAUAUUCGCAAGAACACCAGUGGCGAAGGCGGCUCACUGGCCCGGUACUGACGCUGAGGUGCGAAAGCGUGGGGAGCAAACAGG